rnacentral:rRNA from 1 species
UAUUGGUCAAUGGGCGCGAGCCUGAACCAGCCAAGUCGCGUGAGGGAUGACGGCCCUACGGGUUGUAAACCUCUUUUGUCGGGGAGCAGAUUCCGUUACGUGUAACGGAGUCGAGAGUACCCGAAGAAAAAGCAUCGGCUAACUCCGUGCCAGCAGCCGCGGUAAUACGGAGGAUGCGAGCGUUAUCCGGAUUUAUUGGGUUUAAAGGGUGCGUAGGCGGACUGUCAAGUCAGCGGUAAAAUACGGGGGCUCGACCUCCGCCCGCCGUUGAAACUGACGGUCUUGAGUGGGCGAGAUGUAUGCGGAAUGCGUGGUGUAGCGGUGAAAUGCAUAGAUAUCACGCAGAACUCCGAUUGCGAAGGCAGCAUACCGGCGCCCAACUGACGCUGAAGCACGAAAGCGUGGGUAUCGAACAGG